AUGAACGCUGGCGGCGUGCUUAACACAUGCAAGUCGCACGGUGAAGGCGGAGCUUGCUCUGCUGGAUCAGUGGCGAACGGGUGAGUAACACGUGAGCAAUCUGCCCCUGACUCUGGGAUAAGCGCUGGAAACGGCGUCUAAUACUGGAUACGAGCUGCGAAGGCAUCUUCAGCAGCUGGAAAGAACUUCGGUCAGGGAUGAGCUCGCGGCCUAUCAGCUUGUUGGUGAGGUAACGGCUCACCAAGGCGUCGACGGGUAGCCGGCCUGAGAGGGUGACCGGCCACACUGGGACUGAGACACGGCCCAGACUCCUACGGGAGGCAGCAGUGGGGAAUAUUGCACAAUGGGCGAAAGCCUGAUGCAGCAACGCCGCGUGAGGGACGACGGCCUUCGGGUUGUAAACCUCUUUUAGCAGGGAAGAAGCGAAAGUGACGGUACCUGCAGAAAAAGCGCCGGCUAACUACGUG
rnacentral:rRNA from 1 species